AGUAACGGCGAGUGAAGCGGCAACAGCUCAAAUUUGAAAUCUGGCUUCGGCCCGAGUUGUAAUUUGCAGAGGAAGCUUUAGGCGCGGCACCAACUGAGUCCCCUGGACCGGGGCGCCACAGAGGGUGAGAGCCCCGUAUAGUUGGACGCCUAGCCUGUGUAAAGCUCUUUCGACGAGUCGAGUUGUUUGGGA
rnacentral:rRNA from 1 species